UCUUCCCCAUCGAGCGUGUUCCUCAGGGACACUGUAGCUCGCCAAACCGUAGCGAGAUCGAAUCGAUUGGUUCGAUCGAUUCUUGACCCCAGGACAGGAGAUCCACCCUAUAUAAGAUCACCAACCUCUCCUCUACCUUUUUUCUUCGUUUCGCCGCCUCCCAUGCCUUAGAAUGGCGCCCAGAUCUCGCUGGAGUCCACCGCCGCCCGAAGCUUAUGCCGCCGCCGAUUUCUUCACCACUGAGUGUCCUCAGCGCCUCCCUUACCCUCUAUUGUAUUCGCCUUAACCUCCUCUGUCCCCCUAACCAACUAUAUCGCAUAGGGAAGCAUCCAAUCGAGCUCUAGGACAUCGAUCCGAAGCUCAAGUCCGACGCCGCAGCUCCAGCCGGACCUCACCGACGCUAGCAGAAGCCCCGGUCGCCCAUGAGGACGUUUUCGAGUUCGGCGUGUUCCUCCUCAUCUCGACCCGUCGUCCCCUGUCUUGUCUCAGGAGGCCUCCGCAUCGCGCACAUACUCCGAGUCCGGGCCGCCCCGCGCCGUUCUCCUCCAAGUCCGGCAGCCACCGAGCCUAUGCUGUUCCGAUUGUCGAGAGUAUGAAGCGGACCAGGACUAAGCGUUAGAGUACUUCAACACCGUUCAAGGCAAAUUUGCACUUUUGAUUUUUCUCAUCCUAUAUUUCUGCUAUGCAUGUGUAAUUGUUGUGAUAUGUUAUAUGUUUGGGUGAUCAUUG